rnacentral:rRNA from 1 species
CCUACGGGCGUCAGCAGUGGGGAAUCUUGCACAAUGGGCGCAAGCCUGAUGCAGCCAUGCCGCGUGUGUGAAGAAGGCCUUCGGGUUGUAAAGCACUUUCAUCGGGGAGGAAGGCGUUAAGGUUAAUAACCUUGGCGAUUGACGUUACCCGCCGAAGAAGCACCGGCUAACUCCGUGCCAGCAGCCGCGGUAAUACGGAGGGUGCAAGCGUUAAUCGGAAUUACUGGGCGUAAAGCGCACGCAGGCGGUCUGUCAAGUCGGAUGUGAAAUCCCCGGGCUCAACCUGGGAACGGCAUUCGAAACUGGCAGGCUAGAGUCUUGUAGAGGGGGGUAGAAUUCCAGGUGUAGCGGUGAAAUGCGUAGAGAUCUGGAGGAAUACCGGUGGCGAAGGCGGCCCCCUGGACAAAGACUGACGCUCAGGUGCGAAAGCGUGGGGAGCAAACAGGAUUAGAUACCCGUGUAGUC